rnacentral:misc_RNA from 1 species
GAUGAAGAACGAAGCGAAAUGCGAUACUUGGUGUGAAUUGCAGAAUCCCGUGAACCAUCGAGUCUUUGAACGCAAGUUGCGCCCGAAGCCAUCAGGUUGAGGGCACGUCUGCCUGGGCGUCACAUAUCGUUGCCCAAUGCCUAUUGCAGUGCAAUAGGAAUUUCUAGGGCGAAUGAUGGCUUCCCGUGAGCGUUGUUGCCUCGCGGUUGGUUGAAAAUCGAGUCCUUGGUAGGGUGUGCCAUGGUAGAUGGUGGUCGAGUUAGAACGAUACCGAUCAUGUGCAUGCUCCCCAAAAUAUGGCCUCUAUGACCCACACGCGUCUUUUGACGCUCAUGACGAGACCUCGGGUCAGGCGGGGCUACCCGCUGAAUUUAAGCAUAUCAAUAAGCGGAGGA